AGCCAAUGGAAGGACAAGCUGAGGGGGGGGGGGGUGGAGAUUGAGCUCAGCAGCCUGGAACAAUGGGUCACCCAUCUGUUUGAAAGGACCAGCUUCCCCCAAGGACAUCCCUGCGAAUGGAACGGACCAACCGAGCCUUAUCCACAGCUGGAUCUCUGAGCUGCAGGGUGGCAAUACGUCGGCAGAGGGACUGCCUGUUCCCCUGCCCUGUUUGCCUGAUGGUGUGAUGUUUAGCUGUGAUCCCUAAUGGAGCAGACCUCCGCCGGGAAGCGGAAGUCCUGCCAACCGUGCAACAGCCCUGUUCAGUAUGGCUCCUCUGAUGACGUCUCCCCCUCCCAAAGUCACGAGGGCGCAUGCUUUCCAUCACAACCAGCGAGCCCAAGAGGAAGGAUCAGUAGAUACUCCGCGCACCCCCAGCGCAGAAUAAAGACUCAAGCUGACCACGGUACUGAGUUCUGUUUCCUCCACCUCGGUUCAGCAGGAUCACACAUGAUGUCACGCACAUGCCAAGAAGCCACCAUCCAUGUUGCUACCUGUUCACCAGUAGAAGAACAACCGCUGCCUCGGUUAUUCUAGACAUAUUUUAUCAAGAAGAGGGGAGAGAGGGGAGCUGGAUUGAUUGAUGGAGGGAGGGGGAGUGGCCAUCCAUCACCCAAAAUGCGUUUCAAUAGUCCUUCACGGCCAAUACAUUAAACAUUACUUCGCUCCUUCAUUGUUUUGGCAAUCAAGCUAAGAGCUUCUUAUUGGAGGAAUAAUCGACAAAGCUCAAGCUGUUUUCCCAAAAAAACAAACAUUUGUUUAGUCUUUGUCCUUGGGUAGAUGUUAUUUAUCAUGGAAUAUAAAUGACCAUAAGUCUAUUGGGCUUAUAAUAAACUAUGAUAUAAAUUACCAUUUGUCUAUUGGGCUUAUAAUAAUCUUUAAGACUACCUUCUAAAAGACACUCACUUAAUUGCACUGCACACAAUGGGUCUAAUUGCUGUGAAGAAUGGUAAAAGUAGUACAUGGUUAAAUAGCAGAAACUGUUCUGUGGCUAAACAAUAGAUCCUGUUCUAACAUGGGCUAAACAGUAGAUACUGUACUAACAUGGGCUAAACAGUAGAUACUGUACUAACCUGGGCUAAUGUGACGCAGGUAUUGUGUUCAACCAUUGGCUGGGAGCAUUGUGCAGCCUACGGUGAUUACAGGACAAAACAAUGCACUACAGAACAAUUCACUACAAUCAAUUACAGUACAGUUCAAUACUACAGCACAGUAUAAUAUACUACAAGACAUUACAAAACAGUA
ensembl:lncRNA